rnacentral:lncRNA from 1 species
GUUUAUUCGUCUUUGUGUCCCCAGCUCUUUGUGACAUUCUGAGUUUGUCACCAACAAAUGCUUGUGGAAUUGAAUUGAAUUCCCAUCCAGUACUACAAGAGAAACGUGCCUUCUAACACAUGGUGCUUCACAUAGGCAAAAAACAAUUACUGGUUCUCUCUCUGGAUUCACCUGAGUUGAAAUUAAGAGCUUCUCCAAGACAUUCUCCAAGAGGUGGAGAGUCCAGUGUUGCCCCAGUGCAAGUGAACGAAGACUCCAGGAGUUGGAAAUCACAGACAAACUCUGCAAAUCUAUAUCCUCAGUUAGAAGAAUAGCCUCACAGCUCAUGCAGUGUUGACAGGGGUCAGCAAUGUUCUCAGGCCACUAAGAAGCUAC